rnacentral:rRNA from 1 species
AAGUUAGCGGCGGACGGGCGAGUAACACGUGGGCAACCUGCCCUGCAGAUCGGGAUAACUCCGGGAAACCGGUGCUAAUACCGAAUAGUUUUUUGUCCCUCCUGGGACGGAACGGAAAGACGGUUUCGGCUGUCACUGCAGGAUGGGCCCGCGGCGCAUUAGCUAGUUGGUGAGGUAACGGCUCACCAAGGCGACGAUGCGUAGCCGACCUGAGAGGGUGAUCGGCCACACUGGGACUGAGACACGGCCCAGACUCCUACGGGAGGCAGCAGUAGGGAAUCUUCCGCAAUGGACGAAAGUCUGACGGAGCAAUGCCGCGUGAGUGACGAAGGUUUUCGGAUCGUAAAACUCUGUUGUAAGGGAAGAACAAGUACCAAGUAACUACUGGUACCUUGACGGUACCUUACCAGAAAGCCACGGCUAACUACGCGCCAGCAGCCGCGGUAAUACGUAGGUGGCAAGCGUUGUCCGGAAUUAUUGGGCGUAAAGCGCGCGCAGGCGGUCCCUUAAGUCUGAUGUGAAAGCCCACGGCUCAACCGUGGA